CACACACACACACACACCGCUUCUCUUGCUCCGUCUCUAUUUUACUGACCCCUUUAGGAUCCACGUGAAGCCGUUAAAACGUCACUUGCUUUCUAGAAUGUGAAAUACAUAGUACGCUGUCAACUCCCCUAAACCAUAAAACUAACUUUAUGGACCCCACGUGACCAGAGGGGAGCCAGUGAGAGGAAUCAGAACAGAUUUUUACGAUCCAACUUGGAAAUAAAAACCCUCAUAUGUUUGACACGCAAAUGUCAAUGCUGCCUCCAUUUUAUAGUGUGGCCCAAAGCAGGAAGGGGCUUUAGUUUUAAAUCUACGCAUGUCUUUAUACAGCAGCUCACACAGACACGGGUCGGGAGAUUGUAUCCAGAUGAGGCUCGAAGAAGGACCCAUGUGGCUCCUGAGUAACUCAGAAAGAAAAGCAGGGGAACUGCAGCAGCAGUCGAGAAGAAAACUGGCCUGUUUGGAUCAGCUGGCUGUGUGUUUCGCUGUGUAGUUCCCUGAAGUGUGAAGUUGUGCUAGAACACCACCUUUGUCCAUGAAGAUACUCCCUUGGAAUUUCUAGGCUCAUGGACUCAAGACUGACCUGCAAAAUAGAGGAAUAUUUGGAGAACAUUAAGCCCAGUUAUGGUACUAACAGUUCGCUCAAAUGAAAAACACAAAAUGCUCCUUAUUAAGAUUAUUUUCUGCACAUCCCAUGCUAAAGUCCAAGAAAAGGCUGCAGCUUGUCCCCACGGCCAAACUACAGACAGUCCGACUGAUAAAUCGACACAAAGACUCUAUUUUUGCUUUUACUUUACCCUCCCACCCAACGCAUUCCCCAAAAGCCGAGCUCUUCUCCUAUUAAAGACACUGCGGAUAUGACUGGGAAGUGGGAACAUUUUAACGCCGAAUUCGUGUGGUCCAUGGUGGAGAAGCUGAAUUUGAAAUUUGCAGCCUUUCUGUGGUUGCUUACCUACUUUUUGCUUUUUGACCCACACCUCCCCUCUCCUGGCCUCUCUCGCGUCGGCAGGACGCUGUUUCCUCCCCGCUUUGUGGGAACGGGAAGCAGCCAACUUGUUUUGGAGCUGACUGGGGUUUAAUCAUUGAUGAGCAGCAACAAGGACGGGGAUGGCCAGCAGCCCGGGACAGACACAGGAUGCUAACACUCUCAUUACGUUACCUAGAGUCCCCCUUUCAGCGCAACGGCAUAACAAGCGACCUGGUGGGUUUCACAUCCCCUAUUCUGACAUGGAAUACAACAUUUACAGCGACAGCGCCAAUAAAUGUUUAAAUCAAUAACUUUUAUUCUGGUAAAAGAGCUUACAUAUAAAUAUGUAUAUUGUCUCACAAUAAACAGUGUAAUCACACUUCAAACAUUAUUAAUGAUUAUUAUUCUUAAUUAUUUACAUAAUUAUUAAUUAUUUUCGAAACGAUUAAGACCAAAACAGGUCUAGCUUUUUGCUACAAGUGAUUCGUUCAUUUAAAAAAGCGAACUAAGGUGUCUUUCAAUUUGAAUUAUAAUAGUUUUACCUGCUGUCAUUAAAUGACAUGAAAUGUUAUUUGAUUUAUUCUCAACCUUAUUCACCAAUCUUUUCCAAACAUAUCACAGUGAAAAGGAAACCUCGAUAAAAAAGUAUUGUGUUUAAAAAACAAAAUAUUUUUAAUGAGUUUCUGUUUGUUUUUAACUCAUGUGAAAAGCAAGCUGUAAAAGGCACAUACCAAUUUUAGUUGUUAACAAAACAAAAAGGGAAAAAACUAUUUAAUUGGGCUAUAUCACAUUGAAUCCAAAGUUUGGUUGUAAAAUAAUAUAACGAGUCAAAUAAAAGGCGUGUUUUCAAACUGAAUGAAGGAGGCUUUACAUCCAGUAAUACAUAUUAUUAAUCACAACGCAUAUUAAAAGCAUGAAAGGUAGCCUCGGUGAGUUACUUGAUACUUUGUUGGUCUGUUGUGUCGAAAUGUAAAGCUGCUGAUGCUGAGACAACGCAGGUUAAACAAUAACUUUAUUAAACAGGGUUACAAAACACGGUUGUUUUUUUUUUGUUCAUUUAAAAACAAUGUAUGCAACACGGCCUCCUUGUAAAGCCAUAUGAGAGGAAAUAACAACAUGGUUACUAUUGAAGAGCAGGGCUGUGCUUUAUGUACAUGUUGCUGUGUGUCGUUGUUGGAUGGUUGGGAGCCAAAAAGCCCUAAAAGGCAAAUAAAUUAAGUGUUUUGCAAGAAGUCUGGUGCAUUAUGCACAAACAGAGCAUGUGUUUAUGACAGUUACAGCGGACAGGGGGACAUAUUUCGCACCAUUCUUUAAAAAGUGUUUAAUUGCUCUAUUGUGUUAAUUUCUUAGUUGUUUUGGUCAUUACAUCGGGUCACAGCGGCUCUGCAACUUGCCCUUUGUAAUAAAUAAGUAAGUAAAUAAAUAUAGCAUGGUAUAGCUUUUAUGUUA